rnacentral:rRNA from 1 species
CAGUAGCCGCGGUAAUACGCAGGUGGCGAGCGUUGUCCGGAAUCAUUGGGCGUAAAGGGAGCGCAGGCGGGCAUGUAAGUCUCUCUUAAAAGUUCGGGGCUCAACCCCGUGAUGGGAAAGAAACUACAUGUCUUGAGUACAGGAGAGGAAAGCGGAAUUCCCAGUGUAGCGGUGAAAUGCGUAGAUAUUGGGAGGAACACCAGUGGCGAAGGCGGCUUUCUGGUCUGUCACUGACGCUGAGGCUCGAAAGCGUGGGUAGCGAACAGGAUUAGAUACCCCUGUAGUCCCUGUCUCUUAUACA